CAUAGUCACCUGGGAUUUCUCAGUGCUAGAGCUCUUAGAAGUCAGGACCUCCUUCUUUGGCUGAAGUGAUAAUGAGCUAACCCAAACUGACCAAGACAGAUUAAGGUUUCUUCAUCUUCCUGUCCUAGAGAAGGAGAUGUCACUCACCAGAGUACUGCAGUGCACAAGGACUUGCUGUUGGCGUUUGAAGAGGAAAAUUCUUCAUCAUCAGGCCUGCUCAUAUGAUCAAUGCAGAGAGGAAGACUGAAGGGAAAGCAUGUUGGUCAAGAGUUAAGCCUCUUUAUUCAGGCUGAGAUAGUGAGGCCUGUUAGUAAUCAGCUAGGAGUUGAAGCAACCUGCAACAACUUAAUGAAGAGCAGCAGUCCUUAGGAAACUUCAACUAGUACAGAAUUCUGCAACACCAAGCUACUGUGAGCACAGCAGGCUUGUCCUCUACUCUCUAUACAGGCUUCCCACAGAAUAUUGAGUCAAGUCCCAGCUCUUGGUCCUUAUCUUCAAAGUGAGUGGCCUCAGUCCAGCAUAUCUAAAAGACCACCUAAAGCUCUAGACUGUGAUUGACAAUUUUGCUUCUCAGGCACAGUGAAACUUUCUGCCAUAAGGGUAAAGCUUGUCUGGGCAGAAGAUAGAUAUUUAUUUGGGGCUGGUUCGAGACUGUGGAAGGAACUCUCACGGGAACUAAGGACUAUCAUACACUUCACCAACUUCUGUCCAAGUGCAAGGUGCACUUCUUAAUUUUGCCACAAAAUACAGUAUGUAUAUAAAAAAACCUACCAAAACAAAACACAAUGCUUCAAACACAGUUCUCACCGGGAGUGUGUGUGUGAGAAAGAAUGAGUAUGACAGAGAGAAUGAACCAGAUAUGACAGAUGUUAGUCAUGUUUCUUAAUGCACUAUUGGAAGGUCCUCAGAUAUUAAGGUGAUGGGAGUGGUAUAAGAACCUAUAAGAAUAGAAUAGCCUAGAAUCUAUAAUUAGUGGACUCUUUCGUGAGUGAUUUUGCUGGCUCAAAUCUAAAAGAUAGAGCUAAAAAUAUAUUGGAAGUUUUUCUCAUGUAAUGUUUCUCUUAGUUCUCAAAUAUGUCUUUUUCUAGUAUUAAAUUGAAUAGGAUAAAUCUGGCAGCUAGAAACUGGGGUCAAAGGAGGCAAACUUUCAGCAUUUUGGAGGUAUUAAAUAUUUAUUG